rnacentral:rRNA from 3 species
CACAUGACUCUCGGCAACGGAUAUCUUGGCUCUCGCAUCGAUGAAGAACGUAGCAAAAUGCGAUACCUGGUGUGAAUUGCAGAAUCCCGUGAACCAUCGAGUUUUUGAACGCAAGUUGCGCCCGAGGCCUCCUGACCGAGGGCACGUCUGCCUGGGCGUCACGC